rnacentral:rRNA from 1 species
CGAGGAACCUUACCUGGGCUCGAACGUAAGAUGACUGUAGGUGAAAGCUUACAUCUCUUCGGAGCAUUUUACGAGGUGCUGCAUGGUUGUCGUCAGCUCGUGCCGUGAGGUGUCGGGUUAAGUCCCAUAACGAGCGCAACCCCUACCUUUAGUUGCCAUCAGGUUAAGCUGGGGACUCUAAAGGAACUGCCUACGCAAGUAGUGAGGAAGGCGGGGAUGACGUCAAAUCAGCACGGCCCUUACGUCCAGGGCUACACACGUGCUACAAUGGCCGAUACAGAGGGCAGCUACCUGGUGACAGGAUGCAAAUCUCCAAAGUCGGUCUCAGUUCGGAUCGGAGUCUGCAACCCGACUCCGUGAAGUUGGAUUCGCUAGUAAUCGCGCAUCAGCCAUGGCGCGGUGAAUACGUUCCCGGGCCUU